CUCAGGCCACCUGGUGGGGCAUCGUUCUGAGGGGAGGUCGGUAUUGUCUGUUUUGACUCUUGCUCUCAGCUGAGGAGUGUCCUUGGGGAUGUUAAAUUCUGGACCCACAUGGUUGCCCUGCUCAGGGGCUGAACAAGCUCCUGCGGUGCAGAACGGGGCCUCAGGGUGAGAAGCCACCGGAGGUGUGGAGCCAGCACUCACUGCCGCCAUCCUCCCCACAGGUGCAGACCGAGGCUGAGUUUGUCCUGUGAGCUGUUUGCAGAGAGCCCUUGGACUGACACGUGUGAGAAGGAGUGAGCAGGUGCAGAGGAGCAGGCAGAGGCGUCCGAUCACCAACCUCACAGGGGGUUCCGGAGCUCCACCUGCCCUUCAGAAUGGUCCUGAGUUGGGCCUAGAUGCUGGACCUCCAUUAACCCAAUGGCUGCAUACUGUUGCAGGUGCUGGCAGAAUAGUCAGGUGAGGCCAAGGCAAGAAACAGACAAAUGUGUAACAUCAGGUGUGCAAACCAGAUGGCUGGACCAGGUGAAUGAAGGUGGAAGGGGCAAUGAUGGUGACUGGAAAGGCAAAGCAACCUGGCCGUGACAUCUCAGGAGCAGGCGGCCCUUUCCUGCAGUGGCUGCUCUGGGAGCUGCACCCUGUGCAUGGUUUCAUCUUUUGGUUACAAUUCACUGCCUCUCUGCAGGACAUGGGGCAGUCGCCUCUCUGAUGGGAAACGCGCAGUACAGGGCAAUGUGCAACCUGGACCCCUGGCAAGAGACUUGCAGGGCU
ensembl:lncRNA